rnacentral:misc_RNA from 1 species
UUAACUAUUAUAUAGUACUCAGACAUUACUAAACAAAAGAGUUGUGGUCCUCUGGCGGGCACAGUCAGCCGGAGCCAACGCCGAAUCGGCGGCCCGCCAAAGCAACAAAGGUAUGUAAACACGGUUUUGAAUAGAGCCCCGUCUUCGAGAAGACAGGGUAAUUCUUUAAUGAUCCUUCCGCAGGUUCACCUACGGAAA